rnacentral:rRNA from 1 species
AGGGAAUCUUCCACAAUGGGCGAAAGCCUGAUGGAGCAACGCCGCGUGGGUGAAGAAGGUCUUCGGAUCGUAAAACCCUGUUGUCAGAGAAGAAAGUGCAUGAGAGUAACUGUUCAUGUUUCGACGGUAUCUGACCAGAAAGCCACGGCUAACUACGUGCCAGCAGCCGCGGUAAUACGUAGGUGGCAAGCGUUAUCCGGAUUUAUUGGGCGUAAAGGGAACGCAGGCGGUCUUUUAAGUCUGAUGUGAAAGCCUUCGGCUUAACCGGAGUAGUGCAUUGGAAACUGGGAGACUUGAGUGCAGAAGAGGAGAGUGGAACUCCAUGUGUAGCGGUGAAAUGCGUAGAUAUAUGGAAGAACACCAGUGGCGAAGGCGGCCUGCUGGGCUCUAACUGACGCUGAGGCUCGAAAGCGUGGGUAGCAAACAGG